rnacentral:rRNA from 1 species
UACGUAGGGAGCAAGCGUUGUCCGGAAUCAUUGGGCGUAAAGCGCGCGUAGGCGGCCUCAUAAGUCCGUUGUGAAAGUCAAAGGCUCAACCUUUGAAAGCCGAUGGAUACUGUGGGGCUAGAGUCCGGAAGAGGCGAGUGGAAUUCCUGGUGUAGCGGUGGAAUGCGCAGAUAUCAGGAGGAACACCAAUAGCGAAGGCAGCUCGCUGGGACGGUACUGACGCUGAGACGCGAAAGCGUGGGGAGCGAACAGG